GGCGAGCAGCAGGAUCAUCCCCCAGCAAUGUGUGAGGAGCAGCUUGGACAGACUCCUGGGAAAUGAGGAGUUGUGUUGCCUCUUUAUGGAUUCUCCGUUCCUAACUUAUUGUCCACUGCCCCUACAAGAAUGAAACCAGAUCCCAUGGCAAAAGCUUUAGAGAAGAGCAACCCUUUCAACAACUAAAUCCUUCAGAGGAAAUUCGUCUGAGAGCCCUUUCCUGCAAAUCGUUUCAGUUGUGACAAAACUGCCACUUUCUGACAGAGCUUGGGGUAUUUUUUUAAUACAAAAAGAUGCCACAUGUAAAAAUUUUUGAAAACACAUCCAGGUUACUCAGUCCUGAAGGGUCAGUGUCUGGAUCCUGCACAGAACCUGGGAGCUGUUCUGGAGCCCUGCCCUGCCCAGGAGUUGAGCCUGAGCUGUGGAGGGGAUUGCAGCGGGGGAAACCCAACCCUGCCACCACUAAAAUGGACCUGGGGCUCUGCAUCCCUGGAUCUCCUCAGCCCAGAUUAGCAGGACUGUGGUGCUGGAAUUGAUGUUCUCCUCCCUCCCCUUCCCUCAGACCCACUUGGCACUGGGAUGGAUCAGUGUUCCAGCACUGCCCAUCAGAAAUGUUCCACAGGAGUGCAAGGCACCAAUGAAAUUGUUCCCCAGAGGGCAUUUUCAGACUCGUCUUUCAUCUAAUUUGAUUAACUUGGCUCAUUUCCUGCUCUCCCUGUGAUCCCACUGAUGAGAUGUGCAAUCCCAGGUUUAUGGUGCCCUGGUUGGGAUCACUCAGUGACAGGAGGGAGCAUUGCAGGCACAACAGCUCCAGCCUGGCCCGGUGGAUUCUGCCUCCUCUGGGUCCCUCAAGCUCUGUCUCUGCACCGAAGUGUUGGGAGAUCAUGGAAUCACAGAAUCCCAGGCUGGUCUGGGUUGGAAGGGACCU